AUUGUUUCUGUUAAGUGUUUUGCACCUGACAGGACUGUUUGGCUGUCCGUUUUCUCAUUUUGUUUUGUGUAGUGUUCUUUAUUAAAUUAAAAUCAUGAUGAACACUAACUCCGCUGCGUAUUGGUCCACUUUCUCAGACGAUGACUUCCCUGUUUCAUCUGAUGACGAAGACAGCCGUUACAACAAGAAGAUAAAACCAUGUGGUGCCCAAGCUUCUUCCUGCAGUGUAUUCUAGAUACAGAAACACACUUCCUUUGCCUGCAUGUGUCAUUGUAGCAGAACUGUAUCCCGUGAACUGUAUCCUUCUCGAGGGAUUAGACAUUAGGCUGGAUUUCAAGCAGAUGACUCACAAGGAGCUGAAUGGCAGUUGGAUCAUGACAACACUCCUCCCACAGCUUUACAAGUAUUCCCUGAACUUUCUGUAUGUUUCUUUGGAAUGGCAAUUUUUUAUUUCGACCAACCGUAGUGAUGGCGUCUUUGUCCUCGAUUCGGGGAAAUAGGAGUCUCAUAAAAUGUCAGUGUCCAGUUACAGGGGGUCAGUUUGAAUAAAGAAAAUGCUCCAUUAUUACAAUAAAUUCUUUU
rnacentral:lncRNA from 1 species